UACGUAGGGGCCGAGCGUUGUCCGGAGUUACUGGGCGUAAAGCGCGCGCAGGCGGCCCGCCAGGUCCGGCGUGAAAGCCCCCGGCUCAACCGGGGAGGGUCGUCGGGGACCGGCGGGCUCGAGGGUGGCAGGGGCCGGUGGAAUUCCCGGUGUAGUGGUGAAAUGCGUAGAGAUCGGGAGGAACACCCGUGGCGAAGGCGGCCGGCUGGGCCGUCCCUGACGCUGAGGCGCGAAGGCGUGGGGAGCGAACGGG
rnacentral:rRNA from 1 species